rnacentral:tRNA from 2 species
GCCGCAAUGGUGGAAUUGGUAGACACGAGGGACUUAAAAUCCCUUAGCCAUACAACGGCUGUGCGGGUUCGAGUCCCGCUCGCGGCA